UUUCAGUCAUUCACCCUUACAGAGACUGGUAGGAAUAUCUUACCUUGUUGGGAUAGAAACUUAGUUCCUUAGAGCUUUGAUACCUGUGUCUCGGCUUUCCUUUGUACGUGCUAAAUGUAACUCCUGAAUUGAAAAUAAGUUUUAACAUAUAGGUUGUGGUUAAAACAACACCAAAGACUAAUUUUAAAAUUCUAAUUUGCUCAGCAUAAUGUCUAGAUUAUAAAAUUAGACUACAGCUUGCCAGCUGUGUACCCAAGUUGGCACCAGGCACCUUCCUGUUGGCUGUUAGGCUCAGAGCCUGGGUCUCCAGCCCUAACAACCCGAGGUCGCCGCCCAUCCUCAGCACACCAGUUAACAGACAGCCUGAUGUGAAAAGCUGAAAGAGAAGACUUAUUCAUCGUGGCCACAAAGCAUGUGAUUGCAGAUCUUUGCAUUAAGUGGAGAAGCCUCCGGAACAGGAAGAGGGAGGCUCCGAACGCCCAUCACUAUCUCUGUGCCUUUGUGUCACAAACAAAGGACCCAGUGAUUCAUAAGGUACUUGGGAAAACCAAGAUGGCCUUAGAGUGAAUGAAAGCAGGAUUCGCUCUGCAGGCAGGUGCUCAAGCAAGCCUAAGGCCCAAGAAUCCCAGUUUCCACUCCAAAGGGAAGGGAGGAAUUCUCUGAAGGGCUAGCCUUUUCUUUUUAAGUGAUUGAUUUUGUUUGCUGGAGGGGGUUUGUACAAUCCUUUCUGCAGUCCAAAUGACAGCCUUACUUGUUUGCUGGGUCCCAGAGUUGACUUCCUUGUGACUCACAGUCACAGGCCUAAAUGAAAAGACUACUUGCCAUGUCCCAGUGAAGAGAGGUGUGGCAGAACGGAAUGCCUGUGGCCUGGAAGAGGUGAAGGGUGGAAAGACGAAGAGUCCAACACCUCACAGUAGAGAGAAUCUGCAAUGGGCAGUUUGGUUAGCCACUCCAAGACACAGAUGUCUAAAAUUUCCCAUGAAAAAUACCUGCUGGGGCUGCAACUUUAUCCCUACAGCUGUUUGUGGAGGAGGAGACCUGUAUUAACUUUGGAUAGUUUUUCUUUAGGGUGGACAGCUGGGCAGCAGGCCUGAGACAGGCACACCCAAGUUCAUCCUGUUCUUCCACACAUCAGGGCGCCUUGUUGCCCUGGCACGAGGCUGGUUUGCCUUUGUGGAUGACGACUCUUCUUGCAAAGCAAAGCUUGGGCUUGGUUUCAUGCAUAGGUGCGAAACAAUGAGCCUGGAUUCUGUAAUGAGAACAUUAGUUAACUUGGCCUAGCCAGCGCACCCCUCCCCAACACCUCUUGUUCAUUCCCCACCCCCCCCCACUCCCACCCCCACCAUGUACUAAUGCACUUUACUGCUAAGAGAGGUCAAAGAUUUAAAACAUUUAGGGGCUGGGGAGAUAGCAAGCAUGGGGUCCUGAGUUCACCGCCCAGCUGUGAGUGAUAGCACAUGCUAUAAUCCCAUUGUUGGCUGUAUGGAGAAUGGCGGACCCAUGGGGCUAACUGGCUAGUCAGUCUAAGUUAAUCAGGGAACCCCAGGUUCCAG
rnacentral:lncRNA from 1 species